GAUGAAGAACGUAGCGAAAUGCGAUACGUAAUGUGAAUUGCAGAAUUCGGUGAAUCAUCGAAUCUUUGAACGCAUAUUGCGCUCUCUGGUAUUCCGGAGAGCAUGCUUGUUUGAGUAUCAGUAAACACCUCAACUCCCUUUUCUUUUUUGAAAUUGGAGCUGGACUUGAGUGAUCCCAACGCUUUCUUCCAAGAAAGUGGCGGGUUGCUUGAAAUGCAGGUGCAGCUGAACUUUUCUCUGAGCUAUAAGCAUAUCUAUUUAGUCUGCCUAAAAAACAGAUUAUUACCUUUGCUGCAGCUAACAUAAAGGAGACUAGUUCUUGUGCUGACUGAUGCAGGAUUCACAGAGACAGCUUCGGCUGACUUUGUAAACUCGAUCUCAAAUCAAGUAAGACUACCCGCUGAACUUAAGCAUAUCAAUAAGCGGAGGA
rnacentral:misc_RNA from 1 species